rnacentral:rRNA from 1 species
GUGGGGAAUAUUGGACAAUGGGCGAAAGCCUGAUCCAGCCAUGCCGCGUGGGUGAAGAAGGCCUUCGGGUUGUAAAGCCCUUUUGUUGGGAAAGAAAUCCUGUCGAUUAAUACUCGGUGGGGAUGACGGUACCCAAAGAAUAAGCACCGGCUAACUUCGUGCCAGCAGCCGCGGUAAUACGAAGGGUGCAAGCGUUACUCGGAAUUACUGGGCGUAAAGCGUGCGUAGGUGGUGGUUUAAGUCUGCUGUGAAAGCCCUGGGCUCAACCUGGGAAUUGCAGUGGAUACUGGAUCACUAGAGUGUGGUAGAGGGAUGCGGAAUUUCUGGUGUAGCAGUGAAAUGCGUAGAGAUCAGAAGGAACAUCCGUGGCGAAGGCGGCAUCCUGGGCCAACACUGACACUGAGGCACGAAAGCGUGGGGAGCAAACAGGAUUAGAAACCCGGGUAGUCC